UGUCCUAAUUUGGGAUUGGAGGGUGUCUGUGAAUGUGCGUUGCGGAAGGGGGGGGGGAAACAGAGAAAGCUUCCUAUACUUUUUUUUUCCCCCUCAGCCACGGUUAGGCUGAAUGGUCUGAUAAACGGGGAUUAGGACGGGACUUUCAAGACAGACCAAUAGCUGCUGCCUGUGGGAGUAUUUGUUAUUCACAUGGAAGAGACUCGGGAAGCGCUGCCUGGCUUUCAGCACCAAGAACAGCGACAAGUGAGCUCCCUUCUGUCCCCGCUUCGGAAGCAGGCAACGAGCGUGAAAAUGGAGCGCCAAGGAAGCCCCCGCAGGGCCCGUCUGCAGCCCGGGAGAAUUUCAGUUACAAGAUACUAUCCAAGGAUUUGAAUUGGUGGCCUUUUCCUGACUCUGGGAACGCUUACUCUAAGAUUACUCUGUAGUCAUCGAAAAAACUUGAAAAGUGAGCAAACCACUUGGCAUACUUAACUGAAAUGGAUUCUUUAUGUCAGAAACUACUUAAAGACAUUUAUUAAAAAUAUCAGCCAACAGCUCAUCUUUUCUAUCUACUACAAGGUCCUAUAUUCCGAAUCGCUGGGUACUGAUGAUAGCCUUCAGAAGAGGCAGUUUCAAAAUAUUCACUACUUCCUGUAGCAAGGAGAAAAUCUGGAUCUUGGAUUGCAAUACCAUCUUCAGAAAAAAUGGUAUACAAGGAAAAGCUUCUAGCAUCUUGCCAUCAUUUGUUCCUGCUUGCAGCCAGAUUUUGUUGGAUAAUUCCUAUGAUACGAGGAACUUAUGGCCAGGAAUAUGCUCAUUCCAUUCGACUCGAUGGAGAUGUGAUCUUGGGAGGAUUGUUCCCUGUCCAUGCCAAGGGAGAAAGAGGAGUACCUUGUGGUGAACUCAAGAAAGAAAAGGGAAUCCAUCGGCUUGAGGCAAUGUUAUAUGCAAUUGAUCAGAUCAAUAAGGACCCUGACCUUCUUGCCAAUGUCACAUUGGGCGUUCGGAUUCUAGACACAUGUUCCAGGGACACUUAUGCUCUGGAGCAGUCUUUAACUUUUGUGCAAGCUUUGAUAGAAAAAGAUGGGUCUGAUGUGAAAUGUGCUAAUGGAGAUCCUCCUAUUUUUACCAAGCCAGACAAGAUAACUGGGGUAAUAGGUGCAGCAGCAAGUUCAGUGUCAAUCAUGGUGGCUAACAUUUUAAGACUUUUUAAGAUACCUCAAAUCAGCUAUGCAUCUACAGCUCCAGAACUGAGUGAUAACACCAGGUAUGAUUUUUUCUCUCGUGUGGUCCCACCAGACUCCUAUCAAGCCCAAGCUCUGGUUGAUAUUGUGACAGCACUUGGAUGGAACUAUGUGUCAACACUGGCAUCAGAAGGAAACUAUGGGGAAAGUGGUGUAGAAGCUUUCACUCAAAUCUCUAGGGAAAUUGGUGGUGUCUGUAUUGCUCAGUCAUUAAAAAUCCCCCGUGAACCAAGACCAGGGGAAUUUGAAAAGAUUAUCAAGCGCCUGGUGGAGACUCCAAAUGCUCGUGCUGUAAUUAUGUUUGCAAAUGAAGAUGAUAUAAGGAGAAUUCUGGAGGCUGCUAAGAAAUUGAAUCAAACUGGACAUUUUCUUUGGAUAGGCUCAGACAGUUGGGGUUCUAAAAUUGCACCUGUUUAUCAGCAAGAAGAAAUUGCAGAAGGGGCUGUCACCAUUUUGCCCAAAAGAGCUUCCAUUGAUGGUUUUGAUAGAUAUUUUAGAAGUCGAACCCUAGCAAAUAACAGAAGGAAUGUGUGGUUCGCAGAAUUUUGGGAAGAAAAUUUUGGAUGCAAGCUGGGUUCUCAUGGAAAGAGGAAUAGCAACAUAAAGAAAUGUACAGGAUUGGAACGAAUUGCAAGAGAUUCUGCUUAUGAACAAGAAGGAAAGGUUCAGUUUGUCAUUGAUGCGGUGUACUCGAUGGCAUAUGCAUUACACAACAUGCAUAAAGAACUUUGUCCUGGGUACAUUGGACUCUGUCCUCGCAUGAGUACAAUUGAUGGCAAAGAGUUGCUUAGUUACAUCCGGGCAGUAAAUUUCAAUGGGAGUGCUGGAACACCUGUCAUUUUCAAUGAAAAUGGAGAUGCACCUGGACGUUACGAUAUCUUCCAGUAUCAAAUAACCAACAGAAGUGCAGAAUAUAAAAUCAUUGGCCACUGGACAAAUCAACUUCAUCUAAAUGUAGAAGAUAUGCAGUGGGAUAUCAAAGAACGAACUCACCCCGCUUCAGUCUGUAGUUUGCCGUGCAAACCUGGGGAAAGGAAGAAGAUGGUUAAGGGAGUCGCUUGCUGUUGGCAUUGUGAGCGCUGUGAAGGAUAUCACUACCAAGUGGAUGAGGUCACCUGUGAAAUGUGUCCCUUUGAUAAGAAGCCAAACACCAACCGCACGGACUGCCAACUCAUUCCCAUCAUCAAACUGGAGUGGCAUUCCCCGUGGGCAAUUGUGCCUGUCUUCAUAGCAAUACUUGGCAUCAUUGCAACCACCUUUGUCAUUGUGACAUUUGUCCGCCACAACGACACCCCAAUUGUCAGGGCCUCAGGGCGUGAACUAAGCUAUGUCCUCUUGACUGGGAUUUUUCUCUGUUAUGCUAUCACUUUUUUAAUGAUUGCAAGUCCAGACACUGCCAUCUGCUCUUUUCGACGGAUCUUUCUAGGACUUGGAAUGUGCUUCAGUUAUGCAGCCUUGCUCACCAAAACAAACCGGAUCCAUCGAAUAUUUGAGCAAGGGAAAAAAUCAGUCACUGCUCCAAAGUUCAUCAGCCCAGGUUCCCAACUGGCGAUUACCUUCAGCCUCAUAUCCAUACAGCUUAUAGGAGUCUUCAUCUGGUUUGCUAUUGAUCCUCCACAUAUCAUAGUAGAUUAUGGAGAGCAGAGGACUGUGGAUCCUGAAAAUGCCCGUGGGAUUCUUAAAUGUGACAUCUCGGAUCUAUCACUCAUUUGUUCUCUUGGAUACAGUAUUCUCUUAAUGGUAACAUGUACUGUAUAUGCUAUUAAAACAAGAGGCGUUCCAGAGACCUUCAACGAAGCAAAACCAAUUGGAUUUACCAUGUAUACCACCUGUAUCAUUUGGUUAGCUUUUAUUCCAAUCUUUUUUGGAACGGCACAAUCGGCAGAGAAGGUACAGAAAGAAACAUGUGCUGUCAGCGAAAGAGUUGCUAUUUCUCAGAAUGUACAUCCAGACAACAACUCUUACAGUGUCCUUAAGUUUAAGUGCUUCUGUCUCUUUGGGCAUGCUCUACAUCCCCAAGGUUUAUAUUAUUAUUUUUCAUCCAGAACAAAACGUGCAAAAAAGAAAGAGGAGUUUCAAGGCUGUUGUCACUGCAGCCACAAUGCAAAGCAAGCUGAUCCAAAAGGGAAAUGACAGACCAAAUGGCGAGGUCAAAACGGAACUUUGUGAAAGUCUUGAAACCAACAAGAAAAGAAGCAAGGCCUGAUCCUGAAGCAUACUAUUUCACUGAGACUUCACUUACAACUUCCUCUACCAAGACAACCUACGUCAGCUAUAGCAAUCAUGCAAACUGAAUGGUGAAACCAAUCAUACCUGAAGACUCACAGUAUGUGAACUGAAGAACAACAUUGACUAUCACAUCAUGAGAACUCAGCCUCUGAAAUGUCUCUAGAAAACAAACUAAGAUGUAAAAGGACAAAGAUUGACCAUGAGGCCAUAGCAGGAGGCAUGGGUGGGUUGGGGGAAAAAUGACCCAGAAUUAUAUAUUAUGACUGCCUGUCAAAUGUCUGAACUGUUUACUCAUGAAAAAAGGUGAAUCACAAAAGGAAAACAAUGUUAGCUUGUGAAAAAAAUUCUGUUGAAAUAAAACCAUGUCUGAUGUUAUACUUGUAAGUACUUUUUUGUGAUUGUGAGAAAUUCCAUUCCUGUUCCACACUUGUUCAACUUGUAUAAGAAGAUGAAGUUUGUUUCUUGUGAUGGCUGACUGAAUUGAAACCCUGCGUUGUGCUAAUGAUAAAUGCAAUGGUUGACGCAUGCACAUUUUUAUACUAAAUAAUUUAUUUCUAUUAAUAAAGGAAUGUUUUGCAAAUGUU